rnacentral:rRNA from 1 species
GAUGAACGCUGGCGGCGUGCCUAAUACAUGCAAGUCGAGCGAACAGAUGAGGAGCUUGCUCCUUUGACGUUAGCGGCGGACGGGUGAGUAACACGUGGGUAACCUACCUAUAAGACUGGGAUAACUUCGGGAAACCGGAGCUAAUACCGGAUAACAUUUGGAACCGCAUGGUUCUAAAGUGAAAGAUGGUUUUGCUAUCACUUAUAGAUGGACCCGCGCCGUAUUAGCUAGUUGGUAAGGUAACGGCUUACCAAGGCAACGAUACGUAGCCGACCUGAGAGGGUGAUCGGCCACACUGGAACUGAGACACGGUCCAGACUCCUACGGGAGGCAGCAGUAGGGAAUCUUCCGCAAUGGGCGAAAGCCUGACGGAGCAACGCCGCGUGAGUGAUGAAGGGUUUCGGCUCGUAAAACUCUGUUAUUAGGGAAGAACAAACGUGUAAGUAACUGUGCACGUCUUGACGGUACCUAAUCAGAAAGCCACGGCUAACUACGUG